CCACACUCAUAAUUUGAAGCUUGUCUUUGACUCUAAAAUUGAAAUAAAUAAAAAAUGUUAAAUGCAUAAAAAUUUUAUAAUAUUAUAAAUAAAGUUUUUGUUUUUAAACAACUUACUAUAGGAAAACUCCAUGUUAUCUUCGGUUUAACUCUUAAACCUAGCAACUUAUAAUAACCUUCAAAAGCUCUACAAAAUAAAAAUAAUUAUUGAAAUUGUGUUAUAAAAUAUAUUACAAUACUUAUGAACAAUAUAAAUAAAUUAAAUACUUACAAAUCAACAAUUUGACAUAUUUUUUUAUCUGGCUUCCUUCCCAAUGAACAUAUAAAGACUAUAUUGCGCUCCUUAGGAUUGAUAAUAAGCAAUUGCCAAUGACGACUACAAUACACAAUUAAAUAUAUGUUAUAUUCAAUUUUCUCUAUUAUAAACGAUGACUAUAAUAGAAAAUACUUACUUUAUGAGAUAAGGU
rnacentral:lncRNA from 1 species